UUUAAGCACUCUCUUUAAAUUGAUUGAUUUGCCCAUUUUUUAAAUGUAAACUUUUAGCCUGUAUACUCAUAGAUACUGUAAAUUGUGUGUUUGUUUUGUUACUUAUUUAUUUAAAUUGGUCGUUAUGUAGAAAGAUAAGUUGCUUUGGUUGUGUAAGAGCUCGCGGGCGCUCGCUUUCUGAAUUCAGCGCUAUUACCGCUAAGUGUCUAAAAGCCGCGCCGUAAAAAUUUUACGUGCGGCUUGAUUAACCGUGGUUUCAGGAAGACUGUCUGCUUAACCACAGUGAAGCUUGGAACGGCUUCAAGCUUUUGCCACAGUAAGGGCACAUUUCACAUUACAGUUUGUGAAACAGAAGAAAAGAACUCGAAUCAUUCAAGCGUUUUCGCUAGUCUAAGAUAUCAGCAGACUGAAAAUCAUAGUUCCUUUACAUUUUGAUAGUCAUACUCCGUGUCCAAUCAGAAACGAGCAUUGAUUGAUGUUCGAUCAGGACCUACCCUUUCCGUUUUGAGUUAAUGCUAUUGCGUUUUUGGUUUGUUAAAGUGUUUUGCACUUUAGGGCCACCAUAAUUUUGGGUUUGCAAUCAGUUACAACUGCGAUGAUCAAAAAAAGUUGAAAAAACAGUCAGUCUUUGUAGACAUUACUCGACCCGAGUGCCGUAUGCUCAUGGCGAUACAUCUAAUAUGACAAAUCAUCUACACCGUCAUCACCCGGGGAUUGAUAGCGCGCGGGUCUGAAGCCGGUUUCCGCCCCGGAGAAAAACAUUAUAAAGGUCAUUUCAACUUUUUUUUGCAAUUACAAGUUUUCUUAGUCGCAUUUGUCAUGGCUUGUAUGAUUAUGGAAAACAUUAUAGAGGAUUAUUUUGGUUUCACAAAUAGAGAGAUCUUGAUUUUAUUGGAAGAGUCACAACAUAAACCUACGUCUCCAGACUCUUGAGAGAACAUUAUGCAGAAACCAGUUGUGGUGGAGACGCAACAAAACAGAUGAAGCCGAAGUGGCAUAUUUUAUACACCAGCAGCUUCAGACAUCAGGACGACAACAUGGCUAUCAGUGGAUGCAGCAGAAAUGUUGGAUGUCCGGGAUGAUCACAGACAGAGAAACUGUCCAUCAGUUGAUGCAACUGUUAAAUGCACAAGAAGUGGAUGUGUGUGCGCAUGUAUAACAGUCGUGGGCCAUUGUCUGUUAACCUACUCGAGUUUGAACUCACUACAUAGAUUAAUUUGAGUUAGAAAGAUUGCAGUGAUAAAGCAUCAAUCAUUCUCUAUAAAUAGGCUAUAUAAGAACAACACUCAACCAGACACGAGCGCGCGCUCGUUACCUGAAGUUUCAAAAUUACAUUUUAUGAAUCUACUUAUGCUUUAGCACAUUUAAUUCCAAAAUCAUGUAUUGUGUCUGUUUUACUACUACUGACUACUUAAGAAUUAUUAGUUCAUAUGGAAAAUACAUUUUGGGAUAAUUUGAGAAUUGGUACAUCCAGCAAGCAGAUAAGUGUUUUUGUUUGUAUUUUGUUUAGUUAGGAUUGUACCAUAUUGUUUCCCUCAGAGUUUGCUCAAAGAUAUUCUUCUGCCAGGACUAAGACCAAUGUCAUAAUGAACAAGUGUAUAGCCCCCUAUCUUUUGCAUGAACUAGUGAAGAACCUCUGCAGUCAGCUUUUUACAUUAGCGACUGAGGGUUCUGCAAAGUUACAAUAUCCCAUGGACCAAUUGUGUGGCUCUUGCAGUUCACAAUGCCAGUGUCAACAUGGGUAUCAGAAAUUCAGUUAGGAGCAGGGUCCUGGACCAGAAUCCUUCUGUAUUUGUCCUAGGCUGUCCCUGCCACAUUGUAGACAAUAAUGCACAUGCUGGAGGGUUGAUGUAUUCAGAGGUAAUUGCCUGGAAGUCACAAUAUUAGCUGUGUUUUAGAUCUUGUUUAUAAUUUCUAUUUCAGGGAGUGAUUUGACAUACAGUAAUAUGACUAACAUAAUGUUUUAUUUACCCCCCAGAUAUCAGGCUUUGAUGUUCAGGAUUUUUGUGUUGAUCUUGCAUGCUGAUUCAAAUCCAGCACAAAGAGAAAGAGCAUGCUUGACGGCAAGUUAUCCUUGCAUAACACAUAUAUUGUACUUUGUGAAUAUUGUGAGAUGAAAUGGCAAUCAUUUAUUGAAGGGCCAUACUACUUGUAUAAUACUUGUAUAAUAAUUUAAAUAUUUUAUUUAUUGAAGAGUUCUGUGUGUUUUGUGACACAAAGUACAUGGAGGUACUGCAGCAUUUGAGCAUCAGAUGGCUCAGUUUGGACCUAGCUGUGAACCGUAUACUCCGUCUCUACAAUGCUGUAAAGAGCUGCUUUAGAGCAUUUUGUGGAGCGACUCCACAGAUGAAAGGCAAGCCAGAUUUGUGAGACUCCAUGCCUGUUUUCAGGAUCCAACCACUGAAGUUCAUAAAGACCAUUCAACAAAAUAGGUUCAUAAAACAUGUCAGGAAAAUGUCUGUCCUAUUUUACUUCAAAAUAAAAGCAUAAAAUGUAUAUUUAUAUUUA